rnacentral:rRNA from 1 species
GACGAACGCUGGCGGCGUGCUUAACACAUGCAAGUCGAACGGAAAGGCCCUGCUUUUGUGGGGUGCUCGAGUGGCGAACGGGUGAGUAACACGUGAGUAACCUGCCCUUGACUUUGGGAUAACUUCAGGAAACUGGGGCUAAUACCGGAUAGGAUCUCCUGCUGCAUGGUGGGGGUUGGAAAGUUUCGGCGGUUGGGGAUGGACUCGCGGCUUAUCAGCUUGUUGGUGGGGUAGUGGCUUACCAAGGCUUUGACGGGUAGCCGGCCUGGGAGGGUGACCGGCCACAUUGGGACUGAGAUACGGACCAGACUCCUACGGGAGGCAGCAGUGGGGAAUAUUGCACAAUGGGCGGAAGCCUGAUGCAGCAACGCCGCGUGCGGGAUGACGGCCUUCGGGUUGUAAACCGCUUUCGCCUGUGACGAAGCGUGAGUGACGGUAAUGGGUAAAGAAGCACCGGCUAACUACGUG